CAAGGAUGGAGAACAUUCAACAGAAUCAGUAUGCAAUCAAGCAUGGAAUGGAUUCCAGAUAGGAAUAUAGGAUUCACCUUACACUCAGAAACUGGGGGAUAGGCCUAGUUGUUCAAAAUACACGGCGUUGCUGCAUGGACUUGAAGAGAUAGUUAUGAAUUUAGAAUAUCAUCAAGUGACUUUUAAUAAGGCACUGUUUUCAGUGGAUGAACCGACAUCAUGCAGUGUGACAGGAAAACGCCCGUGAGACCAAAGAUGGCUUAGAUAAAAGGGAAGAUGAUGCAGAAGCCUCUGUACCAGAGAAAAAUCCAGAGAUGGCCCUCAAAGAAGUUAGAAACAAGAUGAGAGACCGUCUCAAGUUGUUUAGGUCUGGAGCCACCUUCCCCCACCCACGAGUUGAAGAAAUAGAUCUUUGAACCAGGUUACCCGUGACAUCAAGAUAAACAAAAUUCAACUUCAGGGACAAUUUGAUAAUAUCUGUUAAAAAAAAUUUUUUUAGCUCACCUGGGCCGAAGGUUCAAGUGAGCUUUUCUGAUCAAAAUUUGUUCGUUGUCUG